rnacentral:lncRNA from 1 species
GGAACAAGGACUCAGACCCCUUCCUAGCCCAGAGCGUUAGCUCUACCCACUCUUUGCUGGCCUUGGGUCUUGCUCCUCCCAGCAGAUUUGGGUGUUCCCUCCACAGUGCUCCCCAAGGGCCUUACACAGACCACUGUGAAAGCAUGUACCAGAAUCUGUUGUCACAAAAUAUCCAGGGUUUUGGAGACCAGGGACCUCGUGUCAUGUCUCCGGACCUACGGCUCCUUCUGUAAGCCUGGCUCAGAGAAGGCACCAGGAAAUGUUGGAAAAAGGCAGGAGAAGAGGGAGGGGGGCAGAGGAAAGAGGGAUGGAGGAGCAGCAGGGGAUGGCAGGGGCCUCCACUGUGAGGGGUCCCCCAAGACAGCCUGUCAUUACAGCUGAGUCAGAAGGAACUAUGACCUGGUUGACUGUGAGCAGGAGGUGUCUGAAUAUGGCUUCAUAACAAUCAUGGUAAUAUAGAGUUCACAAAUACACUCUGCUUUAUCCGA